AAAUGGAUUGGGUAGGGGAGCGUUGUAUACGCGGAGAAACAGUAGCGUAAGCGGCUGUGGAGUGUAUAGAAGUGAGAAUGCCGGAAUGAGUAGCGCGAAUGCAGUGAGAAUCUGCAUGGCCGAAAGCCUCAGGUUUUUGGAGGAAGGUUCGUCCGCUCCAAGUUAGUCGGGAGCUAAGGUGAGGCCGAAAGGCGUAGCCGAUGCACAGACGGUAGAGAUUCCGUCACCACCGAAAGAGUUAAGCACAGGGACACAUUUGAAGUCUCAGAGCCGGGUGUUGGUUCCGGUAGAGAUCGAGGGAAGUUAGUACCGAAGUCUGAGAUGGAAGAUGGCGAGAAAAGCUGUGUGUAUUUCUGAGGUGCCCGUACCGCAAACCGACACAGGUAGGUAGGAAGAAGAUUCUAAGGCCAACGGGAGAAGGGUUGUUAAGGAACUCGGCAAAUUGACCCCGUAACUUCGGGAGAAGGGGUGCUCCAGAGAUGGAGCCGCAGAGAAUCGGCCCAAGCAACUGUUUACCAAAAACACAGGUUUGUGCUAAAUCGAAAGAUGACGUAUACGAGCUGACGCCUGCCCGGUGCUGGAAGGUUAAGAGGAGAUGUGCAAGCAUUGAAUCGAAGCCCCAGUGAACGGCGGCCGUAACGAUAACGGUCCUAAGGUAGCGAAAUUCCUUGUCAGGUAAGUUCUGACCCGCAUGAAAGGCGUAAUGAUUUGGGCACUGUCUCAACAGCCCGCCCGGCGAAAUUGUAGUACCGGUGAAGAUGCCGGUUACCCGCGACAAGACGGAAAGACCCCAUGGAGCUUUACUGUAGCCUAAUAUUGGGUUUCGAUGUUGCAUGCACAGGAUAGAUGGGACACAGGGAAACAAUCGCUUUGGCGGUUGCGGAGUGGCCGUUGGGAUACCAUCCUUGCGAUAUUGGAAUUCUAACCUGCGGCUCUGAAUCGAGUCGGGGGACAUUGUUAGGUGGGCAGUUUGACUGGGGCGGUCGCCUCCUAAAAAGUAACGGAGGCGUUCAAAGGUUCGCUCAGCUUGAACGGAAAUCAAGCAAAAGAGUGCAAACGCAGAAGCGAGCCUAACUGCGAGACUGACGGGUCGAGCAGUAACGAAAGUUGGAGUUAGUGAUCCGGUGGUAUGUGAGUGGAAAUGCCAUCGCUCAACGGAUAAAAGUUACCCUGGGGAUAACAGGCUGAUCUCCCCCAAGAGUCCACAUCGACGGGGAGGUUUGGCACCUCGAUGUCGGCUCAUCGCAUCCUGGGGCUGUAUUCGGUCCCAGGGGUUUGGCUGUUCGCCAAUUAAAGCGGUACGCGAGCUGGGUUCAGAACGUCGUGAGACAGUUCGGUCCCUAUCUGUCGUGGGCGCAGGAUGUUUGAUGGGAGCUGUCCCUAGUACGAGAGGACCGGGACGGACGUACCUCUGGCGCACCAGUUGUUCCGCCAGGAGCAUAGCUGGGCAACUACGUACGGAUCGGAUAAACGCUGAAAGCAUCUAAGCGUGAAGCCGACCCAAAGAUAAGAUAUCCCACUGAUUUGAUCAGGUAAGACCCCUUGAAGACUACAAGGUUGAUAGGCACGAUGUGUAAGUGGAGCGAUCCAUUCAGCAAGCGUGUACUAAUAGGUCGAGGGCUUGACCU
rnacentral:rRNA from 1 species